rnacentral:rRNA from 1 species
CCUAGAAUAAAUCUAUGGUGCAACCUGCUCAAUGGUUAAAAAGAUAAGCAUAACUUCUUAAAAUUAAACUUAAAAGACGCAGUAACUUGACUGUGAUAAUGUAGCACAAUAAAUCGUCACUUAAUUAGUGAAUAGUAUGAAUGGUUUAACGAAUUCUUCACUGUCUCAAAUGAAAGUAAAUGAAAUUAAAAUAAUAGUUAAGAUGCUAUUUAAAAUUGUAAGACGAAAAGACCCUAUAGAGCUUAACUAUAUCUCUUAUUAAUUUCAUAUUUCUAUAAGAGAAGGUAGUUUAGUUGGGGCAACUAUCUUUUAAAAUAAACGAAGAUAAACAAAAUUAAUAAAAUAAUUUAUUGUAAAACAUACAAGUUUAACAAUUAUUAAAAUAGGUUAAAAUGACCCGUUACAAUUAGAUAAAAAAAAUAACGAUUAAUGAAUAAAAGCUACCUUAGGGAUAACAGGAUAAUUUUGCUUAAGAGACCACAUCAAAAGCAAAGUUUGUCACCUCUAUGUUGAAUUAAGAUACCCCAGUGAAGCAAAAUUUACUUAAGGUAGGUCUGUUCGACCUUUAAAAU